GAUGAACGCUAGCGAUAGGCUUAACACAUGCAAGUCGAGGGGCAGCAUGGUCUUAGCUUGCUAAGACUGAUGGCGACCGGCGCACGGGUGCGUAACGCGUAUGCAACUUGCCUCACAGAGGGGGAUAACCCGUCGAAAGACGGACUAAUACCGCGUACACUUGGAGGGAGGCAUCUCCCAUCAAGGAAAAGAAAUUCGCUGUGAGAUAGGCAUGCGUCCCAUUAGCUAGUUGGUGAGGUAACGGCUCACCAAGGCAACGAUGGGUAGGGGAACUGAGAGGUUGAACCCCCACACUGGUACUGAGACACGGACCAGACUCCUACGGGAGGCAGCAGUGAGGAAUAUUGGUCAAUGGGCGAGAGCCUGAACCAGCCAAGUCGCGUGAAGGAUGACUGUCUUAUGGAUUGUAAACUUCUUUUGUAGGGGAAUAAAGAACGGUACAUGUACCGUAGUGAAUGUACCCUACGAAUAAGCAUCGGCUAACUCCGUGCCAGCCGCCGCGGUAG
rnacentral:rRNA from 1 species